rnacentral:rRNA from 1 species
CCCGGCACAAGCGGUGGAGCAUGUGGUUUAAUUCGAUGGUACGCGAGAAACCUUACCAGGGCUUGACAUACACCGGAAGCGCCGUGAAAGCGGCGUGCCGCUUGCGGCCGGUGAACAGGUGCUGCAUGGCUGUCGUCAGCUCGUGCUGUGAAGUGUUGGGUUAAGUCCCACAACGAGCGCAACCCCUGCCGUCUGUUGCCACCACGAAAGGUGGGGACUCAGGCGGGACCGCCGGUGACAAACCGGAGGAAGGUGGGGACGACGUCAAGUCAUCAUGGCCCUUAUGUCCUGGGCCACACACGUGCUACAAUGGCCGGUACAGAGCGCAGCGAGGCCGCGAGGCGGAGCGAAUCGCUUAAAGCCGGUCCCAGUACGGAUUGGAGUCUGCAACCCGACUCCAUGAAGUUGGAAUCGCUAGUAAUCGCGCAUCAGCAUGGCGCGGUGAAUACGUUCCCGGGCCUU